rnacentral:ncRNA from 1 species
AUCUGCAUCAAGGGGUGCCUUUCAAUCAUUCUCUAUCUUCUUUUGAAGAAGAAUUGGUUGUUAAACCGGCUGAGAAUUUAAACCCUCAUUUAGCGGACCAGGAUAAUGCCUGCGUCGCGAUGAUGUGAUGAUGAACU